AGAAGUAGUGGUAGCACGGAGGUAGAGGCUAGUGGUGGUUGAGUGAAGAAGAACUAGAUAUGGUAGCCAAGAUGUGUGAGAACCUGAGUAAGAGAGAUAGAAAAACGUGGAGAGUUGGCAAACAGAAACAAUUGGAGAAGAAGCAUGAUCUAUCAUUUUAAUAAGGAACUUGAGCUUGGAGCUAGAUAAAUACAUAAGACUUCUCAACUCUCUUGUUGGGGUGUCGAUUCUUGGAGG
rnacentral:lncRNA from 1 species